rnacentral:misc_RNA from 1 species
AAGAGGCUUAAGUAGUUAUUAAUUAAAGCUUAAUUAGUUGUUGUAUGGAAGAUAUGACAUCCUAGUUGACAAACUCUCAUAUUGGACUAUAUUAUAGAGACUCAAUUAAUUAUGUUGUUUAUUUAUGGGCCAAAUUAAAAAGCAUUUAAAGCAUGCUCUAUUCUGAACCGUUUCCUUGUCCUAUUUAACUAUUUUAUGAUAAUGAAAGAGAUGCCAUCUUAAUUACUUCAUUUAAGUAAUUUCACCUAACAUCUUAAUUACUCUAGUUUAGGCUUAUCCUUUAUUUCUUUAGAAACUGUUUAAUA